AGGACAUAUCAUGGAUCUUCACGGUUUGCGGCCUGUCCGUCAGGAAGUCCGAGACCCAAUUGCAGAGGGUGGAGCUCAGUCCAAGAGCACUGAUCUUGUGGAUCAGUGUCUGUGGAAUGAUUGUAUUAAAGGCAGAUGUAAAAUCCACGAAAAGAAGGCGGACAUAGGAGUCUUUAUUCUCUAGGUGGGUGAGAGCUGUGUGGACCACAGAAGAUAUGGCAUCCUCUGUGGAUCGGUUCUUUCUGUGUGCAUAAGGAACAGCUUCUUGUGCUAUUUUAAUUAAACUGUUAUAUAAAAGUAAUCUGAAAUACAAAAGUUCGUUCUUUGGAAUUCAGAAAAAUCUUUUUAUUAUUUUUUUUUUUUAUUUCAUAGUUUGUUUUUGUCUUUUCUGACUCUCCUAUGUAAAGGACUUACCUUUGGCAUCUACAGCAUCAAUGUUGAGGGAGGUGAUGCCAAUACUCCAUAAAGUCUAAACUCUUCACAAACAUAAAAACACAAGGAAAAUUAGCAAUGAAAUACAACAUCACAUAGUAAUUGAUUUUUUUGGGGGGGUGGGGGGAUCGUGGGAGGAAACCGGAGCACGCGGAGAAAACCCAACAUGGAGAACAUGCAAACUGAAGAAGAAGAAGAAGAGGAAGGACAGAAGGGUCCAGACUGGGAUUCAAACCUGGAACCCUCUGGCUAUGAGGCAACAGUGCAAACCAUUGCAUCACCAUGCCACACCCAUCCACGUGAUUACUGCAAGCCAAGGUUUCCCCGCAGAACAUUGCAUCGUAAAGAUAGGAUUAACGUUAUUCACAUCACCUUUCAGUGAUUUUAAUGUUGUAACUGAUCAGUGUAUGUAAA